rnacentral:rRNA from 1 species
UACGUAGGGUGCAAGCGUUGUCCGGAAUUAUUGGGCGUAAAGAGCUCGUAGGCGGCUUGUCACGUCGGAUGUGAAAACCCGAGGCUCAACCUCGGGCCUGCAUUCGAUACGGGCUAGCUAGAGUACUGCAGGGGAGACUGGAAUUCCUGGUGUAGCGGUGAAAUGCGCAGAUAUCGGGAGGAACACCGGUGGCGAAGGCGGUUCUCUGGGCCUUACCUGACGCUGAGGAGCGAAAGCGUGGGGAGCGAACAGG